ACAUUCGUGAAUGAGUGAACUCAUAUAAUAGUGGUAAUAAGGUCCACGAGUUUCUACCAGAUACCGUAACAUAUCUGACUAUGAGAAAAUUCAGAAGUUAA
rfam:Clostridium butyricum E4 str. BoNT E BL5262 CLP.Contig65, whole genome shotgun sequence.